CGGGGCGUAGCGCAGCCCGGUAGCGCGCCUGCUUUGGGAGCAGGAUGUCGCAGGUUCGAAUCCUGUCGCCCCGACCA
rnacentral:tRNA from 2 species